rnacentral:rRNA from 1 species
UACGGGGGGGGCAAGCGUUGUUCGGAAUUACUGGGCGUAAAGGGCGUGUAGGUGGCCAACUAAGUCCGACGUGAAAUCCCCAGGCUUAACCUGGGAACUGCGUCGGAUACUGGAUGGCUUGAAUUCGGGAGAGGGAUGCAGAAUUCCAGGUGUAGCGGUGAAAUGCGUAGAGAUCGGGAGGAACACCUGUGGCGAAGGCGGCCGACUGGGCCGACCCUGACGCUGAGGCGCGAAGGCGUGGGGAGCGAACGGG